UACGAGGGGGGCGAGCGUUGUUCGGAAUUAUUGGGCGUAAAGGGUGCGUAGGCGGUUUGGUAAGUCUUAUGUGAAAUCUACAGGCUCAACUUGUAGUCUGCAUGAGAAACUGCCGGGCUUGAGUAUGGGAGAGGUGAGUGGAAUUCCUGGUGUAGCGGUGAAAUGCGUAGAUAUCGGGAAGAACACCAGUGGCGAAGGCGGCUUACUGGUCCGGAACUGACGCUGAGGUGCGAAAGCGUGGGGAGCAAACAGGAUUAAGAAACCCCGGUGAGUCC
rnacentral:rRNA from 1 species